rnacentral:rRNA from 1 species
UCGUAAAGCUCUGUUGUUAGGGAAGAACAAGUACCGUUCGAAUAGGGCGGUACCUUGACGGUACCUAACCAGAAAGCCACGGCUAACUACGUGCCAGCAGCCGCGGUAAUACGUAGGUGGCAAGCGUUGUCCGGAAUUAUUGGGCGUAAAGGGCUCGCAGGCGGUUUCUUAAGUCUGAUGUGAAAGCCCCCGGCUCAACCGGGGAGGGUCAUUGGAAACUGGGGAACUUGAGUGCAGAAGAGGAGAGUGGAAUUCCACGUGUAGCGGUGAAAUGCGUAGAGAUGUGGAGGAACACCAGUGGCGAAGGCGACUCUCUGGUCUGUAACUGACGCUGAGGAGCGAAAGCGUGGGGAGCGAACAGGAUUAGAUACCCUGGUAGUCCACGCCGUAGACGAUG